UACGUAGGGACCAAGCGUUGUUCGGAUUUACUGGGCGUAAAGGGCGCGUAGGCGGCAAUUCAAGUCAUCUGUGAAAUCUCCGAGCUUAACUCGGAACGGUCAGAUGAUACUGCUUUGCUAGAGUGCAGAAGGGGCAACCGGAAUUCUUGGUGUAGCGGUGAAAUGCGUAGAUAUCAAGAGGAACACCGGAGGUGAAGACGGGUUGCUGGGCUGACACUGACGCUGAGGCGCGAAAGCUAGGGUAGCAAACGGG
rnacentral:rRNA from 1 species